rnacentral:rRNA from 1 species
GAUGAACGCUGGCGGCGUGCCUAAUACAUGCAAGUCGAGCGAAUGGAUUAAGAGCUUGCUCUUAUGAAGUUAGCGGCGGACGCGUGAGUAACACGUGGGUAACCUGCCCAUAAGACUGGGAUAACUCCGGGAAACCGGGGCUAAUACCGGAUAACAUUUUGAACCGCAUGGUUCGAAAUUGAAAGGCGGCUUCGGCUGUCACUUAUGGAUGGACCCGCGUCGCAUUAGCUAGUUGGUGAGGUAACGGCUCACCAAGGCAACGAUGCGUAGCCGACCUGAGAGGGUGAUCGGCCACACUGGGACUGAGACACGGCCCAGACUCCUACGGGAGGCAGCAGUAGGGAAUCUUCCGCAAUGGGCGAAAGUCUGACGGAGCAACGCCGCGUGAGUGAUGAAGGCUUUCGGGUCGUAAAACUCUGUUGUUAGGGAAGAACAAGUGCUAGUUGAAUAAGCUGACACCUUGACGGUACCUAACCAGAAAGCCACGGCUAACUACGUGCCAGCAGCCGCCGCAG